AGAGUCGGACACGACUGAAGUGACUUAGCAGCAGCAGCAGCAGCAGCCAACAAUUGACUUUUGUCUGCUUACCGUCUGAGCCAACAUCUUCAUGUCUGUGACAGACUGCCUCAUUCACAGCCACCACAGGCCAAAGGUAAAGCUCCCACAUGGGCAGCCUUAACCUGGGGGACGGUGGAGUCUCGUGUCAGUCACCCAUGUCGUAAUUGCAGAAUGAAAACUUGUGGCUGGAGCUGAGGAAGAGGGGCUCUGCCCAGCUCCGCAGUACCUCUCUUCCUCCCCGGGGACACUUUGUCAGUCCAUCCUGAAUGACCCUGGUACCUUUUAGCAAGCUCUACAGAUAACUAGAGUUCAAACAGGGAAAUAAUAUAUUUAAAAUGGUAACAAUAAGCUGAUAAUAAUACAUUAACCAGAACCUAUUACAUAUUAAUAUUAGGCAUGAUGCAAGUGCUCUAUGUGAACGUAAUCCUCUCCAAAACCCUUGGAAAUAGACAACGCUGUCACUCCUGCUUUACUGAAUACAGAACUGAGGCCUACAGAGGUAAAGCCUUUAUGGCUGUGUGAUGCCCACAACUAUUGACUGAAGUUUCUUCCUGCCUAAAAGCCAGAGGUUGGCUAGGGGUCAGUAUUUCCCAGAACGUGGUAUGUGGACUACUGUCCCGAGUCACCAGGGGUGCUUGUUGACCUGCAGACUCCUGGCUCCACCCCAGAUAGGAAUCCCUGGGGGUGAGGCCCAGGAAUCUAACAAGAACCCCAGGUGAUUCUUAAGCAUAUUAAGGUCUGAGAACCCCCAGGUAUAUAAUCCCCAAAUUUCACCCAGCUCUACUAUGAUGGCCUGUGCUUUCCUUUUGUUAGAGACUCUUCAAGAAUGCAAGCGUUCCUCUUCCAUCCCACCCAGAAUUAACCCUUAAAUAUCCCACACAUUUUCUUUAGAUCAGCUAUAGACAACAUGCAAUCUUGUUUCAUACAAGACACAAGCAAAUUCUUUAUUCUCUAAGAUGUUUAAACCAUACGAAACAAAUCCCUCCCAUUUAGAAGGAAUGCAAAAACAAGAUGACAUGACCUUAGCCAAAAGAAUUUUCUUAAAGGUAUUUUACAAGUGGAAGUCCACACACAUAUGGAAGUAGUUACUGAGAAGAGUCACUGGACCAGGGAACAUCGACAAUGAUCUCUCUCAUUUCUCAGAGAAAGGGGGUGGGAGGAGAGAAGGUAUUUCUAAAUCAACACACACACACACACACACACACACACACAUUCCAAUCAUACACAUAGAAGACACAGGUAACACUGGGCUGUGAGAGAAGAGUGUGAGAGCAAACAGGCCUUUUUCCACUAAAAACAUGUUACCAUCAGCCAUGGUCUUGACUUUUCCUCCUAAUUUA
rnacentral:lncRNA from 1 species